rnacentral:tRNA from 1 species
UCCCUGGUGGCUCUGUCAGUAAAGAAUCUACCUGCAAUGCAGGAGACCCAGGUUCAAUCUCUGGCUUGGGAA